rnacentral:misc_RNA from 1 species
AACGCACAUUGCGCCCCUUGGUAUUCCAUGGGGCAUGCCUGUUCGAGCGUCAUUUUGUACCCUCAAGCACUGCUUGGUGUUGGGCGCUUGUCCUGCAAAGGACUCGCCUGAAAGCGAUUGGCGGCCAACGUACUGGUGGUAGAGCGCAGCACAAUUUGCGUCUUUCCCCUCUGCGUUAGCGUCCAUGAAGCCUAUUUCAACGUUUGACCUCGGAUCAGGUAGGGAUACCCGCUGAACUUAA